rnacentral:snoRNA from 1 species
UGUGUGGUGUGUGUGUGUGUUUGUGUGUGUGUGUGUAUGUGUGUGUGUGUGUGUGUGUGUGUACAUACACACACACACACACACACACACACACACACACACACAUAUAUAUAUAUAUAUAUAAUAUAUAUAUAUAUAUAUAUAUAUAUAUAUAUAUAUAUAUAUAUAUAUACACAU